UUUACUAUUCAAUCAACAAACAAUUUAGUUUUGAAGUGUAAUUACUUGACUCAAAGAUACUUACUUCAAAUAAUUUUUAUUUUAUUUUAUGUAUUUAUAUUAAAAAUAAAUUUUAAAAAAUAAAAAAUAUUUUGAAAACAUUUGUUGGCACAGUAGCCUUAUUCACCAAUAAAGCAAGGUGUUCUUCGGCUGCAAUGAAAAGUUAGGAAGCUCACCGAUUAUUCCAUAUGAAAGGGAUCGUUUUCUCCAUUUAUUUUUGCAAGUUGAAAUUCUAUUCUUUCGUGUAGACUAAGAUAAAGUAGUGUGGUUG
rnacentral:lncRNA from 1 species